rnacentral:rRNA from 1 species
AGAGUUUGAUCCUGGCUCAGAUUGAACGCUGGCGGCAUGCCUUACACAUGCAAGUCGAACGGUAACGCGGGGGCAACCCUGGCGACGAGUGGCGAACGGGUGAGUAAUACAUCGGAACAUAUCCAGUAGCGGGGGAUAACCUAUCGAAAGAUGGACUAAUACCGCAUACGAUCUACGGAUGAAAGCAGGGGACCGCAAGGCCUUGCACUAUUGGAGUGGCCGAUGUCGGAUUAGCUAGUUGGUGGGGUAAAAGCUUACCAAGGCGACGAUCCGUAGCUGGUCUGAGAGGACGAUCAGCCACACUGGAACUGAGACACGGUCCAGACUCCUACGGGAGGCAGCAGUGGGGAAUUUUGGACAAUGGGCGCAAGCCCGAUCCAGCCAUGCCGCGUGAGUGAAGAAGGCCUUCGGGUUGUAAAGCUCUUUCGGUGAAGACGAAACGGUUCAUGCUAAUAACGUGAACUAAUGACGGUACUCACAGAAGAAGCACCGGCUAACUACGUGCCAGCAGCCGCGGUAAUACGUAGGGUGCAGGCGUUAAUCGGAAUUACUGGGCGUAAAGCGUGCGCAGGCGGUUUGCUAAGACAGGUGUGAAAUCCCCGGGCUUAACCUGGGAAUUGCGCUUGUAACUGGCAAGCUAGAGUGUGGCAGAGGGGGGUGGAAUUCCACGUGUAGCGGUGAAAUGCGUAGAUAUGUGGAGGAACACCGAUGGCGAAGGCAGCCCCCUGGGUUAACACUGACGCUCAUGCACGAAAGCGUGGGGAGCAAACAGGAUUAGAUACCCUGGUAGUCCACGCCCUAAACUAUGUCAACUAGUUGUCGGGGAAGAAAUUCCUUGGUAACGAAGCUAACGCGUGAAGUUGACCGCCUGGGGAGUACGGCCGCAAGGUUAAAACUCAAAGGAAUUGACGGGGACCCGCACAAGCGGUGGAUUAUGUGGAUUAAUUCGAUCAACGUGAAAAACCUUACCUACCCUUGACAUGCUAGGAAGCCCGCAGAGAUGUGGGUGUGCCCGAAAGGGAACCUAGACACAGGUGCUGCAUGGCUGUCGUCAGCUCGUGUCGUGAGAUGUUGGGUUAAGUCCCGCAACGAGCGCAACCCUUGCCAUUAGUUGCUACAUUCAGUUGGGCACUCUAAUGGGACCGCCGGUGACAAACCGGAGGAAGGUGGGGAUGACGUCAAGUCCUCAUGGCCCUUAUGGGUAGGGCUUCACACGUAAUACAAUGGUCGGUACAGAGGGCUGCCAACCCGCAAGGGGGAGCUAAUCCCAGAAAGCCGAUCGUAGUCCGGAUUGUAGUCUGCAACUCGACUGCAUGAAGCCGGAAUCGCUAGUAAUCGCGGAUCAGCAUGUCGCGGUGAAUACGUUCCCGGGUCUUGUACACACCGCCCGUCACACCAUGGGAGUGGGUUCCACCAGAAGUAGUUAGCCUAACCGCAAGGAGGGCGAUUACCACGGUGAGAUUCAUGACUGGGGUGAAGUCGAAACAAGGUAGCCGUAUCGGAAGGUGCGGCUG